AGUGAACGCUGGCGGUAGGCCUAACACAUGCCAGUCGAACGGCAGCACAGUAAGAGCUUGCUCUUACGGGUGGCGAGUGGCGGACGGAUGAGGAAUACAUCGGAAUCUACUUUUUCGUGGGGGAUAACGUAGGGAAACUUACGCUAAUACCGCAUACGACCUACGGGUGAAAGCAGGGGAUCUUCGGACCUUUCGCGAUUGCAUGAGCCGAUGCCGGAUUAGCUAGUUGGCGGGGUAAAGGCCCACCAAGGCGACGAUCCGUAGCUGGUCUGAGAGGAUGAUCAGCCACACUGGAACUGAGACACGGUCCAGACUCCUACGGGAGGCAGCAGUGGGGAAUAUUGGACAAUGGGCGCAAGCCUGAUCCAGCCAUACCGCGUGGGUGAAGAAGGCCUUCGGGUUGUAAAGCCCUUUUGUUGGGAAAGAAAAGCAGCAGGUUAAUACCCCGCUGUUCUGACGGUACCCAAAGAAUAAGCACCGGCUAACUUCGUG
rnacentral:rRNA from 1 species